CCCCCCCCCGUUGACCAUCUCAUUCAUCUGAAUUGGCCUGGUGGUGUUACCCAGCGCUAAGAUCCAUGUGGGGGCUUCUAUUGAGAGGACCACGACCCUUGAGCACAGGUUCUUUGCCCGAGAAAUAUAAUGACACCACCAACCUAUCAUCUUGUUAACUUGAAAAGAAGUCAUCAAUAACCUCGCAAGACACCCCAGAUGGCAGUGGUCACCGUGCAUACUAGUCCUCAGAGGAGACAAGGAAGGGGAGAAUUGUGACCACCUUCACCUCUAGGAGGCACUGCCUCCCAGCUCCUCAUUAAUGGCAGCCAGCCUGGGGAAUCCGCUGAGCACUCUAGCUGUGUGAAGGAAGACCAGUGGCGGACUGGGUCUAAAAAUAUUGGUUGCCAGGAGACAAAGGGGGCCCACUUCAUCAGGGGCCCACUUGAUAUAGGGGGCCACUUCAUCAGGGGCCCACUUGCCAUCGGGCAAGCUGACACCCUGGUCAGUCCGUCACUAAGGAAGACUGCUUUCUUUGCCAAUUUGAUUUGGAAACCUUAAAUCAGGUCUUCUGCGGCAUUCGCAGGCAGAGGAGGGCAAUGGAGAGGAAAGAACUGAUCACACUUGGCAAUGUUUGACAAUUUAGCCCCAAAAAAAUAAACUUUUUUAUGUAGAUACCUUGCUUCCUUUGAAAAAGAAAUGGAUCAUUUUUUUUUUUAAUGGGUAUGGCGGCUGUUUUGCCCGAUGAACCCUUAGAAAAAGCGUCAACUCUGCUCAGUUUUUGUUAUCAAGGCCAUUUGAUUGAAUCUGAAUAGGAGUGCUACAAUGUGGAUGUGGUAAGUGUCAGAUAUGUGCAUAGCCCGUCUGGAAGUCUAGUCCUACUUUCUAUUUAUUAAUUAGUCUCACCGUAAUCUGCUGUAACUCCUUUCCUCCGCCCUUUGUGAUGAAGUUAUGGUAUUGUCACCAUCAACUAACAUGGAUGCUGUUGUUUUGUUGUACAAUGUUAAAUGUAUAAAAAAAAAAGUUCUUUAUAAAGCCGAUUAAAAUGCUGUGGAGCUUAUGAAAUCUUUAUUUGUUAGAAAAAUAAAUUGCCGAAUGGUCUCACAA